rnacentral:rRNA from 1 species
UCAUUAGUUUUUUAAUUGAAAGCUAGUAUGAAUGGUUUGAUGAGAAGAUUACUUUCUAAAUUUUAUUAUUUAAAAAUUUUAUUUUUAAGUUAAAAAGCUUAAAUUUUUUUAAAAGACGAGAAGACCCUAUAGAGUUUAAUUUACAUUAAAUUUUUAUUUUUUAGAAUUUAAAUAUUUAUAAUUUUAAUUAAAUUUGAUUGGGGUGAUAAAAAAAUUAAAUAAACUUUUUUAAUUUAAUAACAUUAAUUUAUGAUUAAUUGAUCCAUAAAAAUGAUUAUAAGAAUAAAUUACCUUAGGGAUAACAGCGUAAUUUUUUUUUAGAGUUCAAAUCGAAAGAAAAGAUUGCGACCUCGAUGUUGGAUUAAAGUUAAAUUUAGGUGUAGAAGCUUAGA